UGUUUGCUUUUUUGUGUAAUUAUACGGAGUGAAAUAUGUGUAUUAUUCAGAUAUCAGAAAGAGUUAUCCUUCUUUGUAAAUUUUUGAAUUAUCUUCCUUGAGUGGAAAUCUUUUGUGUCAGGAGUUAUCUCCCUCAUUUUCUCGUGCAAGUUUUCAUUCAGUCUGCCAUUAGAGUUCCAUCCAUGAGGAUGUACAUGUAACAUUCUACCUUCUUACGAUUUGUGGCCUAUUACCAUUUAUUUACCUCAUUCGCUCACUCGCUCAUUCGCUCACUCGCUCAUUCGCUUACUCGCUCGUGUAGACUCACUCGCUCACUUAGGCUCACUCACAUAGGCUCACUUUGUCUCACUCACCUAGGCUCAUUCGCUCAUUCACUGAUUGGAAUAUGAAUUCGCUUGUUAAUAAAUAUGGAACCAGU